CUGCUCAAUUUCUGAUAUUUAAUCCUGGCCAUUCGUAUCUGAGCGUUUGUUUUCCACCUUUCGUCUGGAAGUUUCGUUCUGUAGAUGACAUCACGGUUUGCGUUGAAGAAGUAUGGGAUGAAGGAGAAGAGUGUUUCCUUGGUUGUUGUCUGCGAUUGAUCUGCAUUGUUGCAGUCCCCGUCAGUGUAGCAGAAGUUAGGUUAAGUGUAGUUUGAGAUUUGAGAUUUGAGAAGACAGAAGAGAGGAGAUUUGGAAAUUUGGAGGAAGGAGGAGGACUAAAUUUUAGGUUUGACACCUGUAUUGAUAUGGGUUGUUCGAAAAUUUCGUCAUUGUGACAUAUGUUUCUUGAAGACUUCUUCUGUUAGGUGGAAAUCAGAGGGAGGAUAAUAGAUUUUUGAAGAAAAUGGUUCAUUUGUGCACUGUUCGUCGUCAGUAUAAGAGGUGUAUCAGAAGCCAUAGAUGUUGUCUGCUUCGUCAGCUGAUUGUUGGUAUGUUAGUUUAUUUCCAGAGGUUUGGUAUAUAUGCACAGUGUUCCAGCUAUUUUGUUGUUGGCAAGCAUUUGAAUUUUUAUUUCAAUGUAGUUGUACUCUUUUCUCAUUUGUAGCUGUCUAUAAAUACCUCUAUUGUGUGUUAUUCCUGGUGUUCUUAGUCUAACCUCUUUUCUUUCUAUGUUGUCUCUAUUUCUCUAUUCUCUAUAUUGCUGGUAAUUUUAGUUACUCAUGGCGUUUACUACAUGUCCUUUCCAUCCCCUUCGAAUUUUAAGUACUGGCAAAGAUACAUGGAUAGUUAAGGUUCAUGUUCUUCAUCAGUGGGAGAUGUUUCCUGUUGGUGAGCCUUCCAAACCAUAUGCGCUUAAUCUUGUCUUGAUUGCUUCAGAGGUUUGUUCUUUUGUUUUUUACUUGUGUAAAUCCUUUUUCUGAUAAUAAUUUAUGUUUAGCUGUAGCAAGUUUGUAAUUCGUCAUUGAUCAUUUUAUUUUGUUGUAUUGGGUGUAAAAAUUGAGGCUUACAUUAAGAAGAACUAUCUUAGCAAGUUUAGGGGUGAAUUUUCAGAGGGUAAUGUAUACAAGAUAACUUAUUUUAGUGUUUCUGGAAACUAUGGCGCAUUUUGUGCCUCUGAACAUGAGUUCAAGAUAUUCUUCAAUCAUAGAACAAAAGUAGUGCAGGAACAUUCUGAUGUUAUUCCAACUAUUUGUUUAUCACUCAAGAACUCUACUUACAUUGAUGCAACAAUGGGGGAAUCUGAUUUUCUCAUUGGUUAGUUUCCUAUAUUCAUUGUAUUGCAGUACUGGCCUUUAUUUUUGUUAACUUUUGUUUUCAGUAUAUUGGCUGAAAUGUAUUGUUUACUUAGAAGAAAACACAUUUAAGUUAGUUGAUUGGAUUAGUUUAUGCAUAUCUUAUCUUUCCACGUAUGGCUGGACUAAAUCCCAAUUAAUUUCUAUGAAAGGAUAUGUAAAGGAGCUUUAGGGAACCCUAACCUAUAGGAUUCAUUUUCAUUGUACCACUAACUUGGUAACCAACAUAGAGUUAGUUUGUUAGUAGUUACAAGAAAGGAUAGUUAGGCAUAGUAAUAUAAGUAGGGGAUAGUAGUGAUAAUGGGGGUUAUUUGGAUUGCAAGAUUGGGGAAUUCUAGGGAGAGAAGCUAAGUCUCUCAAAAGUAUCAGUAGUUGUGUAACUUGUGUUCAUUUUCUUGAAUAAAAUCAAUUCGUUUUCUUCUUCUUUGUUAUGGAUGAUGGAUGACAAUGAGUAUAAGUUAUGUUGAUUUAUAUGUAAUUUUGCUUCCAUGAGCUUAUAUUGAUUUAUUUAUAGUUUUAUAUUGGAUAUUGGAUUAUAUAGAUUACUCAUGUUCUCUAAAACUGUGCCUACAACCAGUUUUGUCCGCCCCAUUGUGUUCUUAAUUCCCAUUAUUCUGAAACUAAUGUUAACAUUCUCUUCACUGUGACCAUGUGAGACAAAGAGGGGCAUGACAGAUCAAGAGGACGAAAUGGAUGAUUCGGCUUAUUGGAAGGACAUAAUUUCAGAGCUAGCCUGUGCAUGCAAUGUGAAAAAGAAGGGGAGAAGAGGGAAGAAGGCUGGACUAUGUGGUUCGAUAACCUAUAUGAUCAAAAGUCAGGGCAGUAUCAUCCUUUUUCUGAUCAUUUUGAUUCUUGAUUCAUUUUGGCUUCCCCAAGUUCUGGGUUCUUAUUUCCUAUUUAAAAAUUGGUUGUUUGCUCAACUGUUUCUGUUGAAGCCGGAUAAUUCUUGUCUGCCCUUGUUAUAAUCUUUAAUGUUUCUACUUUUCUUUGGGAAUAUAAGGCUUAUUAAACACUAAACUGUUUCAGUUAAGGCAUAUGAGGAUUUCUAUCCUAAUAAGUUUUUGGAACCAAUCUGUUUCUGGGUUAGUCUAAGACUUCUCUGGUUUAUCCCUUGAAUUUAUUAUGCUUGCACACAUAAAUUCUGUUGCUGGAUAUAUUUGGCAUUCAAGUGUCUUCGAUUUUGGGCCUUAAGUUAUGUUGACAACUUAUAGUUCUGACUAGCAAUGCAUAUGACAACAUGUGGGAUCUUUCUUCAUUCUUAGUUCUUUUUAAGGCAUAGCUACACUUUGAUACUAUGCUUAUCUGAACAUGCAUAAUUUUUGGCAUAUUAGUUGAACUUGAGCAUCAUUUAAAUUGUUGAAAAGCUCACACAAUUUUAAGGUGAUGGUAAGUUCAUUUUCUCCAUUAAUCAACUUUAAAAAUGACUUUAUGUUCAGAUUUUGUUUUUCAUAUUCAGAGUUUCAUGAACUCUUUCACCCUUCACAUCAUAUGAAUUAUGCAGUUAAUUAGUAGAUGUUGUCCAUGAUGUGAAAGUUUUAAUUCUAUAAGUUAGCUCUCCCAUAUUUAUUGGAGCUAAUGUUCACUCUUGAGGUCUUUUUCUUAUCUCUUUCAAAUGUUAUAAAAAGAAAAGCACCCUCUUAUGCACUCUUUCCUACCCUGCAGCAAAAUCUGCUAAAUCUCUUUCUUCAUCUAGCUUCUUCAAAUUUAUGACUUGGUUUAUUUACCUACUCAUCUUUUCUUUUUCAUUUUAAGAUGGCACAUAGAUGGUACAAAUAUUUGUCUAUGCUUCAUUCAUCUUUUCUUUUUCAUUUUAAGAUGGCACAUAGAUGGUACAAAUAUUUGUUCUAUGCUUCAUACUUGCUGUUAGCCAGAGAUAUUAAAUCUUUUCAUUGUGAUGAGUAUGGCAAGUUCUUACAGCUACAUCAAUUUAAUUAAUACGGGAACCUCACAUUUACCUUUGAUCUGAAUUAUAUCUGAUUAAUUUCCCUUAUGUGGUUUAAUGCACCGUGUGUUGUUUACCUGAUUAGCACAUUAGUGUCAUAGGAGUGAAUUAAAAAGGGUAUAUUUUCAGAAGUUUAUAGGAAGCACCACUUGUUAUGGGUGUUUUCUUCAUUCUCUUUUAUAAAUUGAUUCAAUUGAAAUAUACUCUAAUGUGGCAUGUUGAGUUAGUACCCAAAUCAGAGGAAAUUGAUUUGUUAAUUGUUUUAUGAUGCUUUCUCUCGAAUCUUGUAACCAAAACUUAUGUUACUGACUGAUAAUUUUAAUCCUAGGCAUGAAUUCUCUUUAACCAGUUUAAGGAGUCAACCUGGUUAGUAGCUGACUGUUUUGGUUGCUUUAUAAAAGCUUAAAAGGAGUGGAGAAUAGAAAAGGAUUGGAGUGAAGAGGCUCAGUUUCGUGGAUGGUUAUGAGACAGAAGUGCUACAGAGAAAUUUAAGCAGAACUUUUAUGUAGAUGGGGAUGUCAUUAAGAAUGUCACUGAGCAAUGCUCAUGACAAACAAAACGGUACUGCCCACAAAGGACCUGAGAUCAAGAUCAAGUGAAGUUGUUGAGCUCGCCUGUGCCAUGUUGUUGACGAGCAAUAUGAAUGACAUGUUGAUAAGCAAGUAGGUUGAGGAAGAGGAAAGGAAGAUGCACCUGAUGUUGAUGUUGAUUAUCCGCUGGAGGUUGAGGAAAAAGUUACUGAAAAGAAGAUGCUUUUUAAAGUUUGUAGGGUUCCUGGUAUAACAUAUAAGGGUUAUCCUUGCUAUGAAGUUCUUUGAAUUUGUUUUGAUCCUGAGAUUGUGUCACGUUUCUUCUCUGAGAUAACAAGUACCAAGUCAACAAUGGUCACAGAUGUUGAUGAAGAACAUUGUUGAUACUGUUGGAUAUGGAGAUAGUAGCAAGUAGCAACCAGUCUGCUGUUUGUAAGUGUGUGAAAAGAAAAUUGAAGGUGGUUGGAAAAGAGCUUACUGAAGAUGCAAAUGGCAAGUUAAGAAAGUCUGAAUCACAGGUGUGAAGAAUUUGGAAAUCAGUACUCAUAAUUUAUCCAGUGGUGAGGAUGGAGUGUUAUCCACAAUUAAUGUCAUAAAGGCAAUUAGGAUAAGCGCAUGUUGUUACAUUUACAUAACAGACAUUGACGUGACAUAUUUUAGAGGUAUCCUAUCUUAGGUCCCUCUAAAAUCAUAGUUUUUUGGUUUAGGUCAUUUUAAACGAUGUAAGGUGACGACAGAAUAAUUUUGUAUUCAGUAUGAUUUUGCAUUUAGUGAUGUAUACCUUAUUUA